rnacentral:rRNA from 1 species
GACGAACGCUGGCGGCGUGCUUAACACAUGCAAGUCGAACGGAAAGGCCCUUCGGGGUACUCGAGUGGCGAACGGGUGAGUAACACGUGGGUGAUCUGCCCUGCACUUUGGGAUAAGCCUGGGAAACUGGGUCAAAUACCGAAUAGGACCACGCGCUUCAUGGUGUGUGGUGGAAAGCUUUUGCGGUGUGGGAUGGGCCCGCGGCCUAUCAGCUUGUUGGUGGGGUAAUGGCCUACCAAGGCGACGACGGGUAGCCGGCCUGAGAGGGUGACCGGCCACACUGGGACUGAGAUACGGCCCAGACUCCUACGGGAGGCAGCAGUGGGGAAUAUUGCACAAUGGGCGCAAGCCUGAUGCAGCGACGCCGCGUGAGGGAUGACGGCCUCGGUUGUAACCGUCUUCUAUAGGACGAAGCGUGAGUGACGGUACC